rnacentral:sRNA from 1 species
CCCUAGCCCAGAUAGUAGCGGCAUCCUUUUUAUCCGCUUUUUUACGGAUGAAAAGAUAGAGCGGAUAGCUGGAAUAAGC